GACGAACGCUGGCGGCGUGCCUAACACAUGCAAGUCGAACGGGACUUAGCGGAAAGCGGCUUCGGCCAAUGGAAACUAAGUUUAGUGGCGAACGGGUGAGUAACGCGUGAGAAACCUGCCUUUCAGUGGGGGACAACAGUUGGAAACGACUGCUAAUACCGCAUAACAUACACGGACCGCAUGAUCUGUGUAUCAAAGCUUAAUGUGCUGAAAGAUGGUCUCGCGUCUGAUUAGCUAGAUGGCGGGGUAACGGCCCACCAUGGCGACGAUCAGUAGCCGGUCUGAGAGGAUGAACGGCCACAUUGGGACUGAGAUACGGCCCAGACUCCUACGGGAGGCAGCAGUGGGGGGAUAUUGGACAAUGGGGGGCAACCCUUAUCCAGCGACGCCGCGUGAGGGAAGAAGGUUUUCGGAUUGUAAACCUCUGUCAGUGGGGACGAUAAUGACGGUACCCACGGAGGAAGCCACGGCUAACUACGUG
rnacentral:rRNA from 1 species